AAAUUUUAAAAAAGAAAAUAAAGGAAACGAAGGAAGGAAGGAAGGAAGGAAGGAAGGAAAUUUUAAAAAAGAAAAUAAAGGAACCUCAUUCACAUACACCUCCAAAAUUCUGAUUUCCUAAAGUUGGGCAUUUCUCAUUGCUGGAAGUGUUCAAUUAGAGGGAUGCCACCCCCUUGAAGAAAUGUUUAUUUCAUUUGUACAGUGGGUUGGGAUUUUACCUGAAUGCUUUGAGUACCCUUUUAAUCCUUUGAUGCUAGAGACUGAUAGACCCAUGCCUAUUAUUGCUGUCAGUUCUCCCUGAAAUGUCAUCAGUUCUUCAUGUUCUGCUAUUUCUAGCUGUUGGCCCUACUCCUUUCUGUGCCUAAAUGCCCUACCUCCCACUCCUUUUCUGAGAAAGAUCUGCCCUGUCAGUUGUGAAGCAAAGACGUCCUAAGAUUCCUGCUGUUUAUUUUAUUUUAUUUUAUUUUAUUUCUUUUCUUUUGAUGGAGUUUUGCUCUUGUUGCCCAGGCUGGAGUGCAAUGGUGUGAUCUCAGCUCACUGCAACCUCUGCCUCCCAUGCCCACCUCAGUCUCCCAAAGUGCUGACAUUACAGGCGUGAGCUACCGUGCCUGGCCUCCUGCUCUUCUUUCUACCGUCUGCUCAGCAUCUUAGGCCUCAUUGCUAGGUGGCAUCUUUCCUGAAUAUUUCUCCACUAAACAUUCUGUUGUUGGCUAGAUGGCCUAGUUAAUCUACACAUUUCAUUUUAUCACCUUCUCCAGAUUUUUUUUGUGUAUGUCAGCCGAUAUAUUCUGGGGAGAAUGCCUUAAUAUAUGAGAAUAAUUAACUUGUGGCCAACAAGGAAAUAACCAAGGGGACUGUUACUCUGAACCUAAUUCAAACCAAAGAGAGAGAGCCUGAGAGAAAGCAGCUCUGUCAUCCUUGAGUUAGUAACAUCCAGGAAGGGAAGGCUAAGGUGGGGGAGUGAGUAAAACAGAUGGCAUUUAGGGAAGAACCAACAGGACUUUAAGAGGCAUGGCAGAGGGGCUUUGAUCCUGGCCAAACCAUCAGGGAAGGCAACUGGAGCUGGCUGAACAGAUGGGGCCUUAUUACUGAAGAGAAAACAGUAAGGAGGCAGGGGGAAAUGGGACGUGUGCUAAAGCAGAGUGCCUCGCUCAGUGGAUGCAGUGAGAGCAGAGGCUGUUGGAAAAGUGGAUCAAGGGAGGACCAUGCCACCAGGUGGGCAUCAGCAGAGUAUCACCCGAGUAUUGCAGAGGGAUACCAAAGAAGCCCACCUGGAGCCAGAGCUGAAAUCCUUUGGAGGUCAGUUUACCCCUUCAGAAGUAGUGCACCACCAUCCAUCUACCACUGGAAUCCAAUUUCAGUUUUGGCAAAUUGUUAUAAAUAGGAAAAAGUCAGGGUUCCACAAUUCUGUCAGCACUCAGAGACUAUAACAGCAUCUGUCCAGCCAAGUAGAGUUAGGAAACCUGGAUCCUAAUCCUGACUUUGCCUCUGAUUAGAUGUGUGACCCUGGGCUGGAGCUGUUUCUUCAGUUGUAAAAUGCUAUUUAUUAGUGUUAGGUAGCAGCUAAUAAGGAUGGAGGUGGGACUGGGUGCAGUGGCUCACACCUGUAAUCUCAGCAGUUUGACAGGCCAAGGCAGGAGGAUUGCUUGAGGCCAGGGAUUUGAGACCAGCUUGGGCUGGUCUUUUUUAAAAAAAAAAGAAAUUUUUUUUUAAGCGUGGAGGUAGGGAAAUUCAAAGCUACUUACUAGCUGUGUGACCUUGCCUAAACUACCUUCUUGGAUUUGCAGUCUGUUUAUUUGAAAAUGUCAUAAGGGAUAAAUGAGAUUCCUUAUGUAAAGUACUUUAUAAAUAUUAAGCACUUACCAAAUGUUAGUCUGUUUUCACAUUAUUCUUGGAUUACCAGAAAUUGGUUUGACUAUGAAUAAACAGGGGAUAAUUUCUUGGGUAAUCUGAGUUUGAAUCCCCCUUCUCUCUCUUACUAAUUAUAUGACUUUGAUUAGGUUAUUUAAUAUUUAAUUGUUCUGGGUCUCAGUUUUCUCAUUUGUGAAAUUAAAAUGAUGUGUUCUUCAGAGUUGUGAGGGUUAAAUGAGAUGAAAGGCCUGACUCAUAUGAUAAAAUGCUCAAUAUAUUUGUUUUGUCAUUUUUAAGGGGUGGUUUUAGGGCACAGAACCUAAAGGAAUGAAUGGAAUUCUAAGUGCUUUGAAGCUAGAGUUGUGAAAGAUUCCAGGGGAACACUGUGCUGGCCUUCUCCCUUCUUCUUGGGGAAGAAAAGAUCUCAGUGAAGUUCCAUGGGUCUUCUCAGUAAGCAGAGGAGAUUAACUAGAAUGCUGAAGCUCAGACACUGAGAGGUUAGAGUGAUUGACCAGGGCUGGAUCCUGAAGAGCUUGGUAUUCUAGGCUGAGAAUAUAAUUUUAUUCUAAAGCUAAUGAAGGUUUUUAAGGAGAUGUGCAUUUUGAAAAAGUCGAGGGGCUGUUUGGAGAACGGCCAGGAGAUGAGGCUGGGAUGUGGAUCGGGAAGGUGCUGCGGUGAUCCAGCAUGGAGCUAAGGGACUUUCUGAAGACCCCAGGGCUGAGAUGCCCUGGGGAUGAUCCUGUCCAGCCAGGGCUACAAGGCGAGCUCCCACGGUCACUGUGGCUCUUCACCCUGCCAGCCUCUUCCACCUCUCUGGCUUGCGUGGCCCCGACCCUUCAAGGAUCAGCAGCAUUUCUGAGAUGCCGAGGGACAGGAAAGCCCAGUGCUGGGAGUCUUCCUGGAGUGAGUCACCAUGAAUUCUACAAACAAGGUAGAAAUGGCAGUGGUGUUAUUGCCCCACAGUUGGGUAGACUCCCCCAAGAUCCAGAUGUGAUCAGCCCUUGUCCUAAUGAUAGACCGGCCCCUCUCCUACCACCCACGGAAGCUGCCUCAUCAUUGCCAUUAUCCACUUUCUCAACAGGAGAGACUUGAUACAGAAGGCAGAGUCCCUGCCCUCAAAGAACAUGGGACAAGUUGGGGAGGUGUAACUGAGUUGGUAAAGAACCCCUGGGUGGUAGAGGAGAGUGAAUUCAUAGAUUCUGUAGAUAAACCCUAAGGAGUGACUGGUUGUCCCCCUGGGGCCAAGAGCUGCUACCUCCCUCCCCUCCUCCGUCUUUUGCACAGCUUUAUUGAGCAUAAUUGAUAUACAGUAAACUGCACACUUUGAUGGAUUUUUGACAUACGUCUGCCCUGUGAAACCAGCACCACAGUGGACAAUGACUAUCUCCAUCACUCAUUUCCUUGUACCCAUGGAAAUCCUUGCUUGCUGCCCUCCUGCCCCCAGUCAACCACUGAUCUGCUGUCAGUCACUACGGAUUAGUUCACAUUUUCUAGAAUUGUAUGUAUGUAGAAUCAUGCAGUAUGUGCACUUUUUUGGGUCUGUCUUCUUUCACUCAAUGUCAUUGUUUUAAGGCUCAUCCAUAUCAUUGUAUAAACAGUUUGUUCCUUUCUAUUGCUGAGUAGUAUUCCAUUAUAUGAAUAUACCACAAUUUGUUUAUCCAUUCAUUAGUCAGUGGACUUUUUGAGUUCUUUCUAGUUUGGGGGCUAUUACGAAUAAAGUUGCUAUGACUGUUCACUCACAAGUAUUUAUGUGAAUAUAUGCUUUUAUUUCUCUUGGCAGAGUACCUAGAAAUCGAAUAACUGGCGUAUGUUCAACUUUUUUUUUUUUUUUGAAACCAAGUCUUGCUCU